rnacentral:rRNA from 1 species
UACGGAAGGCAGCAGUGGGGAAUAUUGCACAAUGGGCGCAAGCCUGAUGCAGCCAUGCCGCGUGUAUGAAGAAGGCCUUCGGGUUGUAAAGUACUUUCAGUCGUGAGGAAGGUGUUAAGGUUAAUAACCUUAGCAAUUGACGUUAGCGACAGAAGAAGCACCGGCUAACUCCGUGCCAGCAGCCGCGGUAAUACGGAGGGUGCGAGCGUUAAUCGGAAUUACUGGGCGUAAAGGGCACGCAGGCGGUUAAUUAAGUUGGAUGUGAAUCCCCGGGCUUAACCUGGGAAUGGCAUUCAAGACUGGUUAGCUAGAGUCUUGUAGAGGGGGUAGAAUUCCAUGUGUAGCGGUGAAAUGCGUAGAGAUGUGGAGGAAUACCGGUGGCGAAGGCGGCCCCUGGACAAAGACUGACGCUCAUGUGCGAAAGCGUGGGGAGCAAACAGGGAUUAGAUAC